rnacentral:rRNA from 1 species
UACGUAGGGAGCAAGCGUUGUCCGGAAUCAUUGGGCGUAAAGCGCGCGUAGGCGGCCCCGUAAGUCCGCUGUGAAAGUCAAAGGCUCAACCUUUGAAAGCCGGUGGAUACUGUGGGGCUAGAGUCCGGAAGAGGCGAGUGGAAUUCCUGGUGUAGCGGUGAAAUGGCGCAGAUAUCAGGAGGAACACCAGUAGCGAAGGCG